rnacentral:misc_RNA from 1 species
AGUGCCAUAUCAAGAUUGGCCAACUGAAAUGAAGAAAUGGUUUUGGCAAUCUCUUUGGCUAAUUCUUGCAUCUGCAGUAGGAUUGAGUGCGAAUGAAGUAACAGCCGGAGACGGCUUCCAGAUUUGUAGUCUUUGACGAUCUUGCGGGCUUUUUUCAACUGACCAUUUAAGGUCUCUAAUGCAGAUUUUGUAAAUUCUGAACCCAUUGCAGCUUCAACCUUUUUGGCAUCCAAUGCCAGGAGGAGAGUGCUUAGCUCAGAAAUACUACUGGAGAAUUGUUGGAAAGUGUCUUUUUCAAAAACCACA